rnacentral:rRNA from 1 species
CCUACGGGGGGCAGCAGUGAGGAAUAUUGGUCAAUGGACGAGAGUCUGAACAGCCAAGUAGCGUGAAGGAUGACUGCCCUAUGGGUUGUAAACUUCUUUUAUAUGGGAAUAAAAUGUUCCACGUGUAGGAUUUUGUAUGUACCAUAUGAAUAAGGAUCGGCUAACUCCGUGCCAGCAGCCGCGGUAAUACGGAGGAUCCGAGCGUUAUCCGGAUUUAUUGGGUUUAAAGGGAGCGUAGGUGGGUUGUUAAGGCAGUUGGGCAAGGUUGCGGCUCAACCGUAAAAUUGGAGUUUAAACUGGCAGUCGUGAGUACAGUAGAGGUUGGCGGAAUUCGGGGUGUAGCGGUGCAAUG